GCCCUCGUAGAUCAGUGGUAGAUCUCCUCCUCAUAAUAAGGAACUAUAUAGAAGCAUUACGGAGGUAACGUGGGUUCGACUCCCCCCGAGGGCA